GCAAAGGGCGCUACCGGGUCCUCCCCACGCGCGAGAAUCGGUUCUUCACCGUCCCUCCCAUCCCUGCACACCGUGGGGCGGUGCACCCUCCCGACGUGUGACGGCAAGGACAGCCAAAGGAUGAGGAGGCAGACGGAGAAUGGAAGAAUCCCUGCGCCUCGCCUCUCGCUUAGAUGUGGUGCUUUCAUGCCCACAUCCUCCUGUGCUGGCCCUGCCUGUAACUCCCCGCACAGUUGGCCCACAUUGAAGCCCACCCUCCCGCUACCUUCAACAUAUGUACUCAUCUGAUGACUAUAAAACAUGCACCACCAGACCACACCUGUUGGAACCAGAACUUGCAAGUCAAGCAGAAAAGAUGCUCGGUGGCCUUCACUGUCAUGGAGCUACGGCCCCCAGCCAGGUGGAGGAUGGUAACUUCAGGCUGAGCCCAAGGUUCCUGGAGCACCGCCCUGUUACCUCACCACCAACCAAUCAGAAGAAAGUCACACACCCUGCAGCCCUCACCCCAAAUUUUGCCUGUAAAAACCUCUCUCCGAAAAGUCUAGGAGGUCAGGUUUUUUGAGCAUGACCUGCCCAUUCUCCUUACUUGGCCCUGCAAUAAACCUUUCUUUGCUCCAAAUUCAGACAUUUUGGUUUGUUUGGACUCAUUGUGCAUUGGACACACGAGCUUGUGUUCAGUAACACUGGGACGGCUAAAGUAAAGAGUCCGUUGUGUCUUUCUGCCUGAGUCCUUUCCCAGAAAGAAGAGGAGUCUUUCUUCUUCCUGCUGGGCUCCGCUAUCAUCACAGGCUGUGAGAGCUCUCCUUCCGGUCUCCCCACUCUAUUUAAUUGAGCUUUCUGUUUAUUAAUUUUUUACAUUUACCCCUUUUGAUCAAGAUCUUUUUUGUGACAGCAUUGCUAAUGAAUAGCUUUUCUAGUUUCAGUGACUUUUUAUCCCUUACUGUUAGGAAGAAUCUUUCCUGGGUGCAGUGCCUCACAUCAGAGGGAAAGUACACAGAUUGGAAACCUAUCGAGGUCACAUUCAAGGAACAAGGAGCAGUAGGAGGGAGAACUCUCAGGCACUUUAUCUAAAGUGCAUCUGUUAUCAAGAUCAUAGACAUUGGAGAUCAUCUGAAGUGUUAUGUCAUCAUCAAAGGUUUAGCUACAAACUUGUAGCAGGCCUGGUCUGAUUGUCUCGGGAAAGUUGUCUCAUCAGAUGUCGUCUGCUUCAAUUCUGGUAAAUCAGGUCACCAGAUGAUGUACAAGUCCAGUCAGGGUUUGAUGCUAUGUUUAGGUGUGUCAUGUGAAUCCACAGGUAUUUUCCUUGGAGUUUUGGCAGAACAAGGGUUGGUUAGCAGCACCUGAUAGGGGCCUUUCCAGUGAGGUUGAAGAGACUCCUUCUGGAGGUGUCUUUUCCAAUUGACAAAAGCUCCAGGUUGCAAGGUGUGACGCUUAAGGUCUUUAUCUCCUGAGAAUGCACUCUAAAAAGAUUGCAUACCCCAAAGAUGGUUGUUUUUAAUAGAAACAAUUAGGCCUUUGCAAUAUUGGAGGAACUCUUAUCAGUUGUGGGUGAAAAGAGGCAGGAGCCAAGUACAUGGGGCAUCCUGUGACUAUGUCAAAGGGUGAGAGUUUAUGAGUUCCCAAAGAGGUGGAUUUAGAAGGACCAACAGCAAUACUUGUGACCAAUCUAUUGGGAGCGUCUCUACAAAUCUUGCCAGUUGAGUCUUAAUGGUGCCAUUAGUGCAUUCCACUAAACCAGAGGAUUGGUGUGGUAAGCACAGUGAAAGUGUUGUAAAACCGGCCAAACAGCAUAGCCUUGUCAAAGCACCUGGCCAGUAAAAUGGGUUCCUCCAUCAUUAUGAAGUUCGAGGGGAGCUCCCCAGGUAGGGAUAAUCUUUUCCUCUAGCCAGUUUUUCUAAAUUAUCAUUUGGGAAGAUAUGCCUUUGCACUAUGAAAGUGGUCUGACUGCUGUUGAUCCCUUGAAGGGCAACGUUCUUUGCAGAAAUGUCGGCAAGGUGAUUUCCCUUAGCUUCCAGAGAAUAAAGUUUAGAAUGCCCUGGAAUCUUACUGAUAGCUUAAACAGCAGAUAAAAGUAUUGCAUUCAACACUUCAUUUUAGAUUCUAUUUCCACUGGAAGUAAGGAAGCCACAUUGCUCCCACAGCAUUUCAAAAUCAUGAGGUACUCCAAAAGCAUAUCUAUUAUCAGUAUAAAUAUUGGCAGUUCUGC